UAUGUCAUCAGGACCGGAUCCUAGUUCCUGAGAAAAUACAAAAAUACGUUAGAUCAAUGUAUAGGCUAUAGGCUACAUAUUUAAAGACCAAUGGAAAAGAAUUGCAUGUAGGCUGUUUGCCAUUUGUGCUCGCAUUUCUUUACCCUUCUUACUCGGAAUCGCUUGAACUGAAAUAAACCGGCGUUUCACCACCUGUGGAGAAAAGGAGAUACACAACCAUUUAGUGACAGAUCGAGCGCCAGGCACGUUACGUGAGCACAUUCCCGUUCAAGAGGAUAUCACUGCAAACUAUGAGCCAGCUCUUUAUGUGGGCCUCACACUCACUGGCGCUGACGUUCUGCGAAGUGGCCACACCUGAACAGGAGGGUCUCAUCAUAUUUCUUCAGCACCCUGACA